rnacentral:lncRNA from 1 species
GCUGGGGGAGAAACAUGCCAUUAAACAAUCAUAAAGGAGUGUCACGAGAUUGAUUUUAAAUGCAUGUAUCAUUAUGAAGACAUAAUGGAAAAAUAUGCACAUCUUCCAUAAUCGAGAAGUCAGGGAAUUUUAUCUGGAGGCUGUGACACAGUGAAUUGUGACUCAUAAGAUGCAACAGCCACUGAAAAGAUAGGGCCAUGACAAUCUUACUUCUGAGGGAGUGACUCUCAGGUCACAAAAGCCCUUGAUUUGGCUCUAUAUUUUUUAGUGCAGUUUUAAUGUGUGUGUGUGUGUGUGUUUCAUUUCUAGAAUAAUCCUUCACAGAAGCAGUGAUGAAGCCAGAAAUGAGAAAUGAAGCUCAGCACAGAUGGGAUUUUUCAAAUGAAAACCAGAUGAAUGUAAACAGCAGUCUCACCAUCAAAACCUAAAGGUAGAAAGACGCAGGCCCUGCUCUGUGCUGUAACAAGAUCCACGUCUGCAAUGGAAGGGAUCUUUCCAACCCAGGGAUUGAACCUAAGUUUUCCCAUCAACACAACUGAACCCACUGUAUUGCACGUGAAUUCUUUAAUGCUGAGCCACUGGGGAAGAGCAACUAAAUACUGCAUUUUGUAAUUCUAGUAAGUUAUUCUUCAGAAUGAUUUCCCUUUCUCUUUUCCCUGUAUUAUUUCUUUAUCUUAAAGU